rnacentral:lncRNA from 1 species
AGCCGCUCCCCACACACUCACCUGGGCAGGGAGCAGGAGAGGAGCCCCAGCCUGCUGCAUUCAGCCGGGCUGCUCUACAGGACGGCGCUGGGCAGCCUCAGCUCUCCGGUCACUCCAACACCGCGGGCGCGGCUCUCAUGCAGGUGAGCUGCCACCUGAUGCGGAGUCCACGGGCUAAGGGGACCCAGGGCCCGAGCUGAGCUUCCUGGCAGAUCUUCUCUCCCGGAGCCCGACCCACGGCGCCUUCUAGUGUCCUAGAGUGAUAUCGUCGUUCCAAGUUUCACUCCAGCUACUUUCUCUAUUCGCACCUGGGAGACAAGGUCAAAACCAGGCCAGUGUAAGACUCAACAAACCAGGCAGGUUAUGUUCGCUAGCCAUCCCGGCGACUGGGAAGCUGAGGCAGGAGGAUUGCAAGUUGUGGCAAGACUCAACAACUUAAGUUACACCCUGUCUCCAAAUAAAAAGUAAAAAUAGUUUGGGGAUGUAGCUCAGUGGUGGUGUGUGCCCCCUCAUUCUGCAGUGUCACAAAGGAAAAUAAAAAGGAUUUAAGAAAAACAAAAUGAGAAGCAAUUCAAUUAAAUUAGCCCAGAGUUAGUAAACUAAAGAAGAAAAAAUGCUUUAUACUUUAUCAUGUCAAAAAUUCAUUACAUACCCAAGAAAAUUUGUAAAUAACCAUUAAACACAUUGAUAUAUUUAAUAUCAUGGCUCUAAAAAUGCAAAAUUAAAUCAUUAUAUUAUCCCAUUCCACAAAAAUAAACACAACUGAGUGCAUGGGGUGACUGGCAGCAUAUAAAGUAGGUGGACUCUGACUUACUGCUAGCAGAAGGCAGCCACUUUGUAAGCAGAUUUGCCAUCCUGUUAGCAUACAAAGUUAACAUAAAAUUUCUGAGUGUUGUAUUGUUAGUGAAUUGCCCAAAAGAAUUACACAGAAAUUCAUAAAUGAAAAUACAUAACAGGAUUGUUCAUCAAACAGCCUAAACAUCUAAUAGUAAG